rnacentral:rRNA from 1 species
AGUGGCGGACGGGUGAGUAACGCGUGAGAAUCUGCCUUGGGGUCGGGGACAACCACUGGAAACGGUGGCUAAUACCGGAUAAGCCGAUUGGUGAAAGAUUUAUUGCCCGAAGAGGAGCUCGCGUCUGAUUAGCUAGUUGGUGAGGUAAGAGCUCACCAAGGCAGCGAUCAGUAGCUGGUCUGAGAGGACGAUCAGCCACACUGGGACUGAGACACGGCCCAGACUCCUACGGGAGGCAGCAGUGGGGAAUUUUCCGCAAUGGGCGAAAGCCUGACGGAGCAAGACCGCGUGAGGGAGGAAGGCUCUUGGGUUGUAAACCUCUUUUCUCAGGGAAGAAGCUCUGACGGUACCUGAGGAAUCAGCCUCGGCUAACUCCGUGCCAGCAGCCGCGGUAAUACGGAGGAGGCAAGCGUUAUCCGGAAUUAUUGGGCGUAAAGCGUCCGCAGGUGGCGAUUCAAGUCUGCUGUCAAAGCACGGGGCUUAACUCCGUAAAGGCAGUGGAAACUGAAUAGCUAGAGUGCCGUAGGGGUAGAGGGAAUUCCCGGUGUAGCGGUGNAAUGCGUAGAGAUCGGGAAGAACAUCGGUGGCGAAAGCGCUCUACUGGACGGCAACUGACACUCAGGGACGAAAGCUAGGGGAGCGAAUGGGAUUAGAUACCCC